AUGAACGCUGGCGGCGUGCCUAAUACAUGCAAGUCGAGCGAACAGACGAGGAGCUUGCUCCUCUGACGUUAGCGGCGGACGGGUGAGUAACACGUGGAUAACCUACCUAUAAGACUGGGAUAACUUCGGGAAACCGGAGCUAAUACCGGAUAAUAUAUUGAACCGCAUGGUUCAAUAGUGAAAGACGGUUUUGCUGUCACUUAUAGAUGGAUCCGUGCCGCAUUAGCUAGUUGGUAAGGUAACGGCUUACCAAGGCAACGAUGCGUAGCCGACCUGAGAGGGUGAUCGGCCACACUGGAACUGAGACACGGUCCAGACUCCUACGGAAGACAGCAGUAGGGAAUCUUCCGCAAUGGGCGAAAGCCUGACGGAGCAACGCCGCGUGAGUGAUGAAGGUCUUCGGAUCGUAAAACUCUGUUAUUAGGGAAGAACAAAUGUGUAAGUAACUAUGCACGUCUUGACGGUACCUAAUCAGAAAGCCACGGCUAACUACGUG
rnacentral:rRNA from 1 species